UUGAGAAUUGAAUAUCCACCGUAGACCGUAGGCGCUCGCAAAGAGCUUAAUCUCCUACCGAGGUAUUAUUUAUAAAACUAUAAAUAGUUGACCUCUCUUUGUCUACGGAAGAGAGGUUUUUUAUCUCAAUCA
rfam:Delta proteobacterium ML8_F1 contig_29, whole genome shotgun sequence.